UACAGAGGUCUCAAGCGUUGUUCGGAUUCAUUGGGCGUAAAGGGUGCGUAGGCGGCGCGGUAAGUCGGGUGUGAAAUCUCGGGGCUUAACUCCGAAACUGCAUUCGAUACUGCCGUGCUUGAGGACUGGAGAGGAGACUGGAAUUCAUGGUGUAGCAGUGAAAUGCGUAGAUAUCAAGUGGAACACCAGUGGCGAAGGCGAGUCUCUGGACAUUUCCUGACGCUGAGGCACGAAAGCCAGGGGAGCAAACGGG
rnacentral:rRNA from 1 species